rnacentral:rRNA from 1 species
ACGGCUCAGUAACACGUGGCUAACCUACCCUUAGGACGGGGACAACCCCGGGAAACUGGGGCUAACAUCUGAUAGGUGAGGAGGCCUGGAAUGGUUCCUCCCUGAAAAGGCGUUGAAACCAUGCUUUUCAGCGUCGCCUAAGGAUGGGGCCGCGCCCGAUCAGGUUGUUGGUGGGGUAACGGCUCACCAAGCCAUUAACCGGUACGGGCCGUGAGAGCGGGAGCCCGGAGAUGGGCACUGAGACAAGGGCCCAGGCCCUACGGGGCGCAGCAGUCGCGAAAACUCCGCAAUGCGCGAAAGCGUGACGGGGCUACCCCGAGUGCCGUCCGCUGAGGAUGGCUUUUCCCCGGUGUAAUGAGCCGGGGGAAUAAGGAGAGGGCAAGACUGGUGUCAGCCGCCGCGGUAAUACCAGCUCUCCGAGUGGUAGGGACAAUUAUUGGGCUUAAAGCGUCCGUAGCCGGCUUGGCAAGUCUCCUGUUAAAUUCAGCGACUUAAUCGUUGAGCCGCGGGAGAUACUACUAGGCUAGGAGGCGGGAGAGGCCGACGGUAUUCCCGGGGUAGGGGUGAAAUCCUAUAAUCCCGGGAGGACCACCAGUGGCGAAGGCUGUCGGCUAGAACGCGCUCGACGGUGAGGGACGAAAGCUGGGGGAGCGAACCGGAUUAGAUACCCGGGUAGUCCCAGCCGUAAACGAUGCGGGCUAGGUGUUGAGGUGGCUACGAGCCACUUCAGUGCCGCAGGGAAGCCAUUAAGUCCGCCGGCCUGGGGAGUACGGCCGCAAGGCUGAAACUUAAAGGAAUUGGCGGGGGAG